UCCCGCUUACACGGGCAGUCCUGUAUGAGAAAUACAACAUACAGCGAGGGUUGCGCUCGUUGGAGGACUUAACCCGACAUUUCACAACACGAGCUGACGACGACCAUGCAGCACCUGUCACUCAGCUCCCUUGCGGGCACGGCCCUAUUUCUAGGGCUUUCUGAGGAUGUCAAGUCCUGGUGAGGUUCUUCGCUUAGUGUCGAAUUAAACCACAUGCUCCACCGCUUGUGUGGAUCCCCGUCAAUUCCUUUAUGUCUUAGCCUUGCGGCCGUACUCCGCAGGCGGGUUACUUAACGCGUUAGCUGCGCCACCGAAACGCUAAGCGCCCCGACAGCUAGUCAUCAUCGUUUACGGCGUGGACUAC
rnacentral:misc_RNA from 1 species